rnacentral:lncRNA from 1 species
AGACAAAUGAACAGACAACAAGAAAAGCACCAAAUAAACGCCCAUCCCGCUAGACAGCUUGUGUUGUCUGUAUUGGCAACAAGGCAGAAUUACCAACCCCCCAUUUUCAGAGCCGUGUGUAGCCUGAUUUGCAUAAACAUGAGUAAUUUAUGAAUAAUAAAUGCCCCUGUAUUCAGCCCCAUCCAUUAAUUUGCAUAUCACCAUGCCACUACAGUUAUUUUUUUCCCGUGUGCUGUGCUAUCAUGAAGCACUAAGAAGCUGCAUUAAAACAGAAUCAAAAGAAGUGCUGGGAAAGCUACAGCAGGGACAAGUGCAGCCCCUCCACACAGCCCCUGAAUUACGCCAGGCUCAUCAAGCCGGCAUGCAGACGGGCUGGCACCGUGC